CACGUAAUCAACCUACCCUCCAGACUGGAAUAACCAUGGGAAACUGUGGGUAAUGCCAGAUGGACUCAACAGAUGGCAUCUUCUGUUGAAUAAACGGCGGCUUCGGCUGCUGCUGGGGAGGGGUUGCGGCCUAUCAGCUUGUUGGUGGGUAAUGGCCUACCAAGGCAAUGACGGGUAGCCGGUCUGAGAGGAUGGUCGGUCACACUGGGACUGAGACACUGCCCAGACUCCUACGGGAGGCUGCAGUCGAGAAUCUUCCGCAAUGGGCGAAAGCCUGACGGAGCGACACCGCGUGCAGGA
rnacentral:rRNA from 1 species